rnacentral:tRNA from 1 species
GCCCCCGUGGCGAAAUCGGUAUACGCAGUCGACUUAAAAUCGAUCGCUUCGGCUUGCGGGUUCGAGUCCCGCCGGGGGCACCU